rnacentral:rRNA from 1 species
UGGGGAAUAUUGGACAAUGGGCGCAAGCCUGAUCCAGCAAUGCCGCGUGAGUGAGGAAGGCCUUAGGGUUGUAAAGCUCUUUCACCCGCGACGAUGAUGACGGUAGCGGGAGAAGAAGCCCCGGCUAACUUCGUGCCAGCAGCCGCGGUAAUACGAAGGGGGCGAGCGUUGUUCGGAUUUACUGGGCGUAAAGGGCGCGCAGGCGGCUACAUUUGUCAGGCGUGAAAGCCCCGGGCUUAACCUGGGAACUGCGUUUGAUACGGUGUGGCUAGAGUUCGGGAGAGGAGAGUGGAAUUCCCAGUGUAGAGGUGAAAUUCGUAGAUAUUGGGAAGAACACCGGUGGCGAAGGCGGCUCUCUGGACCGAGACUGACGCUGAGGCGCGAAAGCGUGGGGAGCAAACAGG